AGCUAGGAGGUUGGCUUAGAAGCAGCCACCCUUUAAAGAAAGCGUAAUAGCUCACUAGUCGAGUCGGCCUGCGCGGAAGAUGUAACGGGGCUCAAACCAUGCACCGAAGCUACGGGUAUCACCUUUUGGUGAUGCGGUAGAGGAGCGUUCUGUAAGCCUGUGAAGGUGAGUUGAGAAGCUUGCUGGAGGUAUCAGAAGUGCGAAUGCUGACAUGAGUAACGACAAUGCGAGUGAAAAACUCGCACGCCGAAAGACCAAGGUUUCCUGCGCAACGUUAAUCGACGCAGGGUUAGUCGGUCCCUAAGGCGAGGCUGAAAAGCGUAGUCGAUGGAAAACAGGUUAAUAUUCCUGUACUUCCAGUUAUUGCGAUGGAGGGACGGAGAAGGUUAGGCCAGCCUGGCGUUGGUUGUCCAGGUUUAAGGUGGUAGGCUGAAAUCUUAGGCAAAUCCGGGAUUUCAAGGCCGAGAGCUGAUGACGAGUUGCCUUUAGGCGACGAAGUGGUUGAUACCAUGCUUCCAAGAAAAGCUCCUAAGCUUCAGAUAACUGGGAACCGUACCCCA
rnacentral:rRNA from 1 species